AACGCUGGCGGCAUGCCUAAUACAUGCAAGUCGUGCGGGGGUCUUCGGACCCUAGCGGCGAACGGGUGAGUAACACGUGGGCAACCUGCCCGUAAGACUGGGAUAACUCCGGGAAACCGGUGCUAAUACCAGAUAAUCUCUUUCUCCGCAUGGAGAAAGAGUAAAAGGCUUCGGCCACUUACGGAUGGGCCCGCGGCGCAUUAGCUGGUUGGUGAGGUAACGGCUCACCAAGGCGACGAUGCGUAGCCGACCUGAGAGGGUGAUCGGCCACACUGGGACUGAGACACGGCCCAGACUCCUACGGGAGGCAGCAGUAGGGAAUUUUCCGCAAUGGGCGAAAGCCUGACGGAGCAAUGCCGCGUGAGUGAUGACGGCCUUCGGGUUGUAAAACUCUGUUCUGAAGGAAGAAGUUCUGACGGUACUUCAGGAGAAAGCCCCGGCUAACUACGUGCCAGCAGCCGCGGUAAUACGUAGGGGGCGAGCGUUAUCCGGAAUUAUUGGGCGUAAAGCGCGCGCAGGCGGUCAUUUAAGUCAGGUGUGAAAGGCUGCGGCUCAACCGCAGAGCGGCACCUGAAACUGGAUGACUUGAGUGCAGGAGAGGAGAGCGGAAUUCCCGGUGUAGCGGUGGAAUGCGUAGAGAUCGGGAGGAACACCAGUGGCGAAGGCGGCUCUCUGGCCUGUUUCUGACGCUGAGGCGCGAAAGCG
rnacentral:rRNA from 1 species